CUCUGGGUGAAAUCCUUGCUGCCCUCUCCCCUCCAGGGUUUCUGGGGAGUUCAGAGCUCUUCCAGCUCCCUUUGGAAGAGGCUGGGGAGCCCAGUGCCUUCAGCCUGGCCAGGCAAUGCUGUGGGUUGGGCUGAUGGAGCAGGUGCCUGUGGGACUUUGAGAAGAAAAGCUCUGCUCCUGGCUCUUCAUCCUUCUGUCUUCAAGACCAAAAGUGGAAUCUGCUCUCACGUCCAGGCAGUGUCUCUCACCUCCUGGAUAAGAGAAGCCAGCUGGAAAGAGGCUGGAGCCCCAGGGAGAAGAGGACAAUGUUAUCCUGAGGUUUCUUUCUCACCAUUUUUGCAGCACAUCUCUAAUUAAGCUCUCUGAACACACCCUGUUCCAGACUGGCCUGUGGAAAAUAUUGACCUUUAAAAGGGAGCUGAGAUACCCAAGGGGCUGGACAGGACUGGACAGCAGGCUUGUUCCUGCACCCGAGAGAAUUGUGGGAAUGAUGUGGCAGUGCUGGAGGGCAGAUGGGAAUCCUGCAGUUUGUGUCUCCAAGCCUGUUUGGCUGUGCCCUGGCUGGGGUCUGAGGGACCUGGUGUCUGGCUGCUGGGUCUCCUUCCAUCAUCAUCUGCCUCCCUGAGUGCUGCAUUCCCUGUGAAAAGUUGGCUUUCCCUGAUAAUCCCCAAAUGACAUCCUCAGUUACAUCAGGAAAAUGAAGCUCAGGCAAUUCACAACCCCAUGGAUCCAGCAUCAGAGGCUUUUAUGGAUCUUUUUACAAAUACACUGCCAGGACUCAUUAUCUGGGGAGGAACAUGGGCUGCACCCCAGCCUCAUCCACCCCUCCAUUCCCUCCUGUGGAAAAAUGACUUUGCCACAGUGAGAAAAAUCAUCAGGAAACGAGUGGGAAUGGCAGAGAACCACCUGUCCCAAUGCCAUGUGUGACCUGGGGCUGGCUGCUCACCAUGGGGAGGUGCAGACAGAUCCCUCAAACCCAGCUCAGGACAGAGCCAGGCACAUCCCUAAAUCCCUGGCCCCAGCCACAGAGCAGGAGCCUUUCAGCAAAAUGCCUUGUUUAACACCACAUUCUGUAGAAAUGCAGCAUCUUUUUAAUGGAGCUGCUGUGGGAAUAGAGAUGGAGACAUAAAAGGGAUAAAAAAAAUCCGUAUUUUGCAUUUUGCUGGAAUGAGCUCCUGCUAAUUGUUUGUGUCCAGCUCCUGUUUAUGCCAUUGUUUUGUUGCACAGCUCCUAAAUUAAGUUGGCUCUGGAGCAAACCUUCCCCAUCAGCCCUGUGUGGCUUCCCUGGGCUGCUGCAUCCACACUCAUCCUGCUCCUGCACUCUUGAUUAGUACUUCAUUAAUUAGGAACCUGUGCUUGCUCUGAGGACAGAGGAUGUUCCAUGAGGAAGCAUCCUGGGAAGGAGCUGUUCAACAGAGCCUUGAGUGAGGCUGAUCCAGCCGUUUUUUGCCUCCAAGGGGAUCUGUUUCUGUUCAUUUGCAGUGAACCCUCCUGGAGGGGGUGGUCCCUGUCCACCUCCUCCUGCCUCAUCUUCCCUCCUCUCCAAGGCUGAUGUUUGGCUUCCCAGCCCACUGACCUCAGGAUGGUUGUUGGUAGCCACAGCACAUCCAGGGCUAAUGCUGGGGUGGGCUGGGCAGGGAGGGAUCCUUCCAGCUCCGUGUCCAUCCCUGUCUGUCCCAAACUCUCUCUGGCCAGUGGCUGUGUGUCCUCUUCCAGAGCGUGGGUGUGUGGGCAGCAGUUGUGCUCUGAUAUUUUUGGGAGCAGAUUAGUUGUCAAUCCCCCCUCUCCUGUGCCAAACAGCUGCUGAUCUCCUUCUGGAAGUGUCCAAGGCCAGGCUGGAUGGGGCUCUGAGCACCCUGCUCUAGUGGAAGGUUCUCCUGCAUGUGGCAGGAGGUAGCAGUGAGAUGGUCUUCAAGGUCCUUUCAUACCCAAACCAUUCCAGGGUUCUGUGAUUCUCUCUUUUCAUCUCUAAAAACCUGAUAUUCAGCUUCUUCUGUCAGUCCCUUCCCUUCUUUCAGUCAGAGAACCACCCUCAGGUGUCUCAACUUUUACAUCUGAAUGGCAAAGACAUAGCAAGGAAAGGGCUUUUUCCAGCCCUGUGGAAACCCAUCAUGGCUCUGUGGAGCAGUAGGAAGGCUGGUGUGGCUCUUUCCUGCUCUCUUACACAAAAUUAAUGCUUCUCUGGUGUGCAGAGCUCCAAAUUUCCACAGAUUUUCCCUGUCAGGGGGGCCAGGAGAGUCCUGUCAAAGACUUGGUAAGGGUUUAGUAAAGGCUGUGCUCUUCCCUUCACUGGAAAGGUUUGGGAUAAGGGACAAUCCAGGCUGUGCAAGGCAGAGAAAAGAAAGAUUUUAGCCCUACUGAGUCUCACUGCCUUUGGAGUUUUAAAGGCUUCUGCCUUUCCUGUAGAUUUCUCUCACAGUCCCCUUGCACAGAAGGAAGGGGAGGAAUGAAGCAGGGAUGGAGCAGUGCAGCUGGAGCAGGUCUGUGCUGUUCCAGGACGUGGAUCCACAGGCUCCCAAGAGCUGCCACUCAACCCAAGGGUGAGAUCCACCCAGGGCAUCCCAGAGCUGGCCAUGGGCAGGGGCUGCAGUGGCAGGAAGGGCCCUGGGGCUGGUGGCAGCACUGGUGGGCAGGGCUGCACCCUUCAAUCCUAGAAGCCUCUCCUGGUGCUGGGGCAGGGUGGGAGAGCUCUGCUCCACUCUCCUGACCUGGGACCUCCUCACUCCUGCUGCAGCAGGGCCCCUUGGAGCACUUCCCAUGGCUAUGAAGCUGCCAUCCUACAAAAGCAGCUUUCCUGCUCCUGGCAGGCCUUGGAAUGAGAUCUUUCAGGCCCUUCACACUCAAAUAAUUCUGUUAUUCUGUAGUCAAAGCAUUGCUGGCCAAGGAGAGGUUGCUUCACCCCCGUAACUCCAUCACAGGGCAGAUAUUUCUUCUCCUUGCUCCACCCUGGGAAUGAAUUUGGGAAUGUCAGGGCAGCUUUGGGGUGGGAUUCAGGCACUGGGCCAGGGGAAGAGCUCCUCACUCCCUGGAUUCUCACCACGUGGAGCAGCCUGAGCCCAGUGGGACUUGGCUCCUGAGCAGCACAGUGGGAGCAGAAGUUCCUGCUGGUACUGCAGUGGAGAAAUACUGCAUUAAAGCAGGAAAUAUCCAAUGUGCAUUGCAAAUGAAGAGGUUUUUCAUUUGUGGUCUAAGGGAGGAAAAAUAUCGCCAAGCCUAGUUAAUAACACAGGAAAGCUCUCGUGGUUAUCAGGGAUCUUCAGCUCUAAUCCCCUCUGAUAACAGUAAAUUGAAGCAGCUCCUCUGCUGAGGUUUUUCUGUUGCUGGAUUGUACCCAUAUAAUAAGAGAAAUGGGCACUGCCUCUCCUAUUUACCAUUCCUUCAUUUAAAUAAGUUUUCAAACUGCACUUUCCUCCCUUCAGAGACAUCUGAUUUACUGCAUUUUAAACAGAAACCACUCCUGCAACAAUACCUCUUUCUAUCAAGAUUUGUAAUCAGGCUGUUCCUGUUGAACUGUUGUUAUUCAAGUUAUUAAUUUGUCGUUUUGCACAGAGUCUGAUCACAGAGAGAGAUGAACAGGAGGGUCUGUGCACCUGCAGGCAGAGCAGGAUGGAUUUAAUUAGAGCAAAGAAAGCUGCAGGUUUUAUUUUGUGUUUGUGUUGUUGGUUUGGUGUUUCCUCAGCCCAGCAUUUUACGAGCUUACGCAGCAAUCUGCAUAAAUUACCAUGCACAUUUUCACUUUGGUUCUUACACCUAAUUUGAUUAAUGGUAAUGCCUUUGACAGGGUAGAUGGAGAGGGAGUUUUUCCAAAGGCAUGGAGUGACAGGACAAGGGGAAUGAC